AGCGAACGCUGGCGGCAGGCCUAACACAUGCAAGUCGAACGGAUCCUUGGGGAUUAGUGGCGGACGGGUGAGUAACACGUGGGGACGUGCCCUUUGGUUCGGAACAACUCAGGGAAACUUGAGCUAAUACCGGAUGAGCCCUUAGGGGGAAAGAUUUAUCGCCGAAAGAGCGGCCCGCGUUAGAUUAGCUAGUUGGUGAGGUAAAGGCUCACCAAGGCUACGAUCUAGAGAUGGUCUGAGAGGAUGAUCAGCCACACUGGGACUGAGACACGGCCCAGACUCCUACGGGAGGCAGCAGUGGGGAAUCUUGCGCAAUGGGCGAAAGCCUGACGCAGCCAUGCCGCGUGAAUGAUGAAGGUCUUAGGAUUAUAAAAUUCUUUUACCAGGGACGAUAAUGACGGUACCUGGAGAAAAAGCCCCGGCUAACUUCGUGCCAGCCGCCGCCGUAAUAC
rnacentral:rRNA from 1 species